rnacentral:rRNA from 1 species
AACGAACGCUGGCGGCAGGCUUAACACAUGCAAGUCGAGCGCCCCGCAAGGGGAGCGGCAGACGGGUGAGUAAGGCGUGGGAAUCUACCGAGCCAUAAGGAAUGGCUUCGGUAAACGGGAAUUAAUACAUUAUAGCCCCUUCGGGGGAAAGAUUUAUAGGGGUUUGAUGAGCCGCGGUUGGAUUAGCAAGUUGGGGGGGUAAGGGCCUACCAGGGGGACGAACCAUAGCUGGCCUGAGAGGAUGAUCAGCCACAUUGGGAGGGAGACACGGCACAAACUCCUACGGGAGGCAGCAGUGGGUAAUAGUGGACAAUGGGCGCAAGCCUGAACCAGCCAUGCCGCUUGAGUGAUGAAGGCCCUAGGGUUGUAAAGCUCUUUCACCGGUGAAGAUAAUGACGGUAACCGGAGAAGAAGCCCCGGCUAACUUCGUGCCAGCAGCCGCCGUAA